rnacentral:rRNA from 1 species
GAACGCUGGCGGCAGGCCUAACACAUGCAAGUCGAACGGUAACAGGAAGAAGCUUGCUUCUUUGCUGACGAGUGGCGGACGGGUGAGUAAUGUCUGGGAAACUGCCUGAUGGAGGGGGAUAACUACUGGAAACGGUAGCUAAUACCGCAUAACGUCGCAAGACCAAAGAGGGGGACCUUCGGGCCUCUUGCCAUCGGAUGUGCCCAGAUGGGAUUAGCUAGUAGGUGGGGUAAAGGCUCACCUAGGCGACGAUCCCUAGCUGGUCUGAGAGGAUGACCAGCCACACUGGAACUGAGGCACGGUCCAGACUCCUACGGGAGGCAGCAGUGGGGAAUAUUGCACAAUGGGCGCAAGCCUGAUGCAGCCAUGCCGCGUGUAUGAAGAAGGCCUUCGGGUUGUAAAGUACUUUCAGCGGGGAGGAAGGGAGUAAAGUUAAUACCUUUGCUCAUUGACGUUACCCGCAGAAGAAGCACCGGCUAACUCCGUGCCAGCAGCCGCGGUAAUACGGAGGGUGCAAGCGUUAAUCGGAAUUACUGGGCGUAAAGCGCACGCAGGCGGUUUGUUAAGUCAGAUGUGAAAUCCCCGGGCUCAACCUGGGAACUGCAUCUGAUACUGGCAAGCUUGAGUCUCGUAGAGGGGGGUAGAAUUCCAGGUGUAGCGGUGAAAUGCGUAGAGAUCUGGAGGAAUACCGGUGGCGAAGGCGGCCCCCCUGGACGAAGACAGACGCUCAGGUGCGAAAGCGUGGGGGAGCAAACAGGAUUAGAUACCCUGGUAGUCCACGCCGUAAACGAUGUCGACUUGGAGGUUGUGCCCUUGAGGCGUGGCUUCCGGAGCUAACGCGUUAAGUCGACCGCCUGGGGAGUACGGCCGCAAGGUUAAAACUCAAAUGAAUUGACGGGGGCCCGCACAAGCGGUGGAGCAUGUGGUUUAAUUCGAUGCAACGCGAAGAACCUUACCUGGUCUUGACAUCCACAGAACUUUCCAGAGAUGGAUUGGUGCCUUCGGGAACUGUGAGACAGGUGCUGCAUGGCUGUCGUCAGCUCGUGUUGUGAAAUGUUGGGUUAAGUCCCGCAACGAGCGCAACCCUUAUCCUUUGUUGCCAGCGGUCCGGCCGGGAACUCAAAGGAGACUGCCAGUGAUAAACUGGAGGAAGGUGGGGAUGACGUCAAGUCAUCAUGGCCCUUACGACCAGGGCUACACACGUGCUACAAUGGCGCAUACAAAGAGAAGCGACCUCGCGAGAGCAAGCGGACCUCAUAAAGUGCGUCGUAGUCCGGAUUGGAGUCUGCAACUCGACUCCAUGAAGUCGGAAUCGCUAGUAAUCGUGGAUCAGAAUGCCACGGUGAAUACGUUCCCGGGCCUUGUACACACCGCCCGUCACACCAUGGGAGUGGGUUGCAAAAGAAGUAGGUAGCUUAACCUUCGGGAGGGCGCUUACCACUUUGUGAUUCAUGACUGGGG